GAAAAAGAAAAAGAAAAAGAAAAAGACGAAACCGAAAUCGGAGAUCUUCGAAGCCCCUCGAGCCAUGCCGUUUCCUCCCGACGACGAUGAAAUUCGCUCCAUACGGAUCCAAGGCUUGGCCCCGCUGAUGAGUGCGAAAUAUCUCUUCCAGUGCUUCUAUGACAACGCGGAGGUUUUGGCUGCAACAGUCCUGCGCGUAAACAAUUUGAUGGGAGAUUGGGAUUCUGAUACGGUGAGAUAUAUGGAGGUGGAACAGUGUGGUUUUGUCGAGUUUGCUUCUCACGGUAUCGCUCAAUCUGUCUUGACCUCCUACAAUGGUGAGCUGAUGCCCAACUACGAUGAUAUACGAUACUGCCUGAGCUGGGACACUCAAGGUUUCGGUACAAGGUGGCGUUUCGAUCGUGCUUACCAGGAUCGCUCUUUCUUUGGUUAUAAUUGGUCAGCACAUGAAUAUGAUGCCAAGGCAGUGAUCAAGCUCUACAAGGACUCCAUACCAUUGAUCGAUCUCGACAAGGACUCCACGUAUGGAGUUGCUAAAAAGCGAGCUUCUGAAAUCGAAGCUGCCUAUCCGAAUACACGUUUGAAGCUUAUAGACAUUUCCCUCACUCAAUAUGCUGGACAUCGUGAGCUUAGUUCUAUAAUCCAUCAGUGGAAUCAGGAACUGUAUCCUAUGGGGAACAUCGGAAUUUCUGAUCUCCAUUUUAAUUGCAUGUAUUACGGUUAUUCUAAGACAAAAGAGAAGGAGCUGUAUUUAUGCUUCAAUGAAAUCAGCCAGAUCAAUAAAGUUUGUUAUGUCUUCCGCACCAUCAAGUUGUCCGAGUUAUUGGAAUGUUUCUGUGAGUUUAACAUCGGAACUAGAACAUUGACCAAGUGCAACUAUUGCACCGCCAAACCAGAACAUCAGUUGCGCCAGCGGGCUUGGAUCUUUCCCUGGGAGGAUGCUGCCAGCUGCGGCGGUGAGGAAGCAAAACUCCCAGCGUAUAUGGGUUGCUGUUCCUCCGGCUCCAGUAUCUUCUUCGCCGGUGGCAUGGUUCCACUUCCACCACCAGAUCCAAAAACAAUAGGGGAUUAUGCGCCUAGUGGAGCUGUCUAUAGUUUUACUCCAAAGUGUACUAGAUGGCAAAGGCAUGACUGGAGUUUCAAGAAGGAGAAGCCAAAUCCCCUGCUUUUUGAGGUGAACGGAAAUUUAUACUGUCUUGCACGUCAACCCAUUGGUGGUCUUAUUAAACAUCCCACCUUCGAGGUAUACAAUAGCCGUUCUGGUGAAUGUGAGGCUCUGCCAGAUCCUCCAUUUUACAAACUGGAGCGGGAACACUCUUUGUUCCCUGGGCCUCGUCUUAAGUUGUCUUGCACUAUUGUUGGUACCAAAAUCUUGAUUUCGAGCAGGUUAGAAUCAUCUAACAGUCCCAUUAUGUGCUUUGACGUGAAUGACAAGGAAAAUAAAUGGAGAGAGAUGACUUCCUUGUUUGGUGGCAAGGGUUUUCCCUUUGAUGGGAGGGCUUUAGUAUUGGACGUGAACGAUAAUACACAUGUCAUGUUUUCCUUUCGUGAGUGUGAGAUAUAUGUAUCUCUGCUACAUUCACUUGAUGAAGGUAGUAUAUGCAUCUCUGAGGACAAUCGUCUGCAUGGUUGGUUCAUGUUACAGGACUUGAUGGGUGACUUUGAUGAACAGUCAUACACCUUUGUUGAUCUUGGAGAUCAAAAGGUUGGCUUUAUUUUGUGUGGGAACAGGUUAUCAGCGGAAAAGUGGGAUAAUGAUAUGGAUCCCUGCCGGAAGGCGCGUGCUCUUAUAGUGGUAAUUCAUUAUAAAGUGGUGGAUUCAACUUGUCUGAUCAACGACAUCGUGGCAUGUCGCACCUUUGAUUACAAUUGUCAUUCCCCCAGCAUCUAUGGCAAUAAAUUGGUCGGUAGCUUUGUGGCCUAACCCAAUCCAACCAUGGUAAUUCCUCCUCGUUUUAUCCAGUAUUAACUCUAUAUAUGGUGUGCUCUUUAACUUGUAUGGAGUCUAGCUAGAUGUUUCCUCAUAUCAGUCUUAUGGAAGUAGUUGUGACCUAGGAGCAACCAGGCUGGUUUCUUCCGAUUAAGACGGUUGAGGGAGGCACGCCUGCAUGCGCAGCUGAUUUUUCUUUGUUUUGUAACAAAUUAAUGACUGUUCUUUCUGUUAUGAGUUUGGAAAAAAGAUGGAAAGAGGUAUUGGUUUGUUGCUUAUGUAGGUGCAUUUUGUCUGUGUUCACUUCAAACUAAAGCACAGAAGGUACAGAUUUGUGGAUCACCUCAACCCGUUUAGUUUUAUAUUAUGAGCAUAUGGUGCAUUCAAGGUUUUGAGGUGUGCAGAUGAGAAUUGCAGGCUUAUGAAAAUUGAAAUCAGUUUGGUUGAUAUGUUUGGUCAUAUUUUGUUUUCCCCUUCUCUUGGAGAGGAUAGCGGGUGAACUUGUAAUAUUUCGUAAUGCAAUGAGGACCUUCUAUUAUUCUCUUGGUCCAUGAAUACUAUUAAGAAUUAAUUUUAAUUCUCUCCUAAACAUUA